UCUGGUGAUUUUAGCACUGUGGACACACCUGUUCCCAUCCCGAACACAGAAGUUAAGCACAGUAGCGGCGACGAUACCAUAGGGUUGCCUAUGGGAAAAUAGCUCAUUGCCGGGC
rnacentral:rRNA from 1 species